GGCAGGCCUAACACAUGCAAGUCGAGCGGAUGACGGGAGCUUGCUCCUUGAUUCAGCGGCGGACGGGUGAGUAAUGCCUAGGAAUCUGCCUGGUAGUGGGGGACAACGUUUCGAAAGGAACGCUAAUACCGCAUACGUCCUACGGGAGAAAGCAGGGGACCUUCGGGCCUUGCGCUAUCAGAUGAGCCUAGGUCGGAUUAGCUAGUUGGUGGGGUAAUGGCUCACCAAGGCGACGAUCCGUAACUGGUCUGAGAGGAUGAUCAGUCACACUGGAACUGAGACACGGUCCAGACUCCUACGGGAGGCAGCAGUGGGGAAUAUUGGACAAUGGGCGAAAGCCUGAUCCAGCCAUGCCGCGUGUGUGAAGAAGGUCUUCGGAUUGUAAAGCACUUUAAGUUGGGAGGAAGGGCAGUAAGCUAAUACCUUGCUGUUUUGACGUUACCGACAGAAUAAGCACCGGCUAACUCUGUGCCAGCAGCCGCGGUAAUACAGAGGGUGCAAGCGUUAAUCGGAAUUACUGGGCGUAAAGCGCGCGUAGGUGGUUCGUUAAGUUGGAUGUGAAAGCCCCGGGCUCAACCUGGGAACUGCAUCCAAAACUGGCGAGCUAGAGUACGGUAGAGGGUGGUGGAAUUUCCUGUGUAGCGGUGAAAUGCGUAGAUAUAGGAAGGAACACCAGUGGCGAAGGCGACCACCUGGACUGAUACUGACACUGAGGUGCGAAAGCGUGGGGAGCAAACAGGAUUAGAUACCCUGGUAGUCCACGCCGUAAACGAUGUCAACUAGCCGUUGGAAUCCUUGAGAUUUUAGUGGCGCAGCUAACGCAUUAAGUUGACCGCCUGGGGAGUACGGCCGCAAGGUUAAAACUCAAAUGAAUUGACGGGGGCCCGCACAAGCGGUGGAGCAUGUUGGUUUAAUUCGAAGCAACGCGAAGAACCUAACCAGGCCUUUGACAUGCAGAGAACUUUCCAGAGAUGGAUUGGUGCCUUCGGGGAACUCUGACACAGGUGCUGCAUGGCUGUCGUCAG
rnacentral:rRNA from 1 species